rnacentral:rRNA from 1 species
AUUGAACGCUGGCGGCAUGCUUUACACAUGCAAGUCGAACGGUAACAGGGUGCUUGCACCGCUGACGAGUGGCGAACGGGUGAGUAAUGCGUCGGAACGUGCCGAGUAGUGGGGGAUAACGCAGCGAAAGUUGUGCUAAUACCGCAUACGUACUGAGGUAGAAAGUGGGGGACCUUCGGGCCUCACGCUAUUCGAGCGGCCGACGUCUGAUUAGCUAGUAGGUGAGGUAAAGGCUCACCUAGGCGACGAUCAGUAGCGGGUCUGAGAGGAUGAUCCGCCACACUGGGACUGAGACACGGCCCAGACUCCUACGGGAGGCAGCAGUGGGGAAUUUUGGACAAUGGGCGAAAACCUGAUCCAGCCAUGCCGCGUGUCUGAAGAAGGCCUUCGGGUUGUAAGGACUUUUGUCAGGGAGGAAAUCCCUAGUGCUAAUAACACUGGGGGAUGACAGUACCUGAAGAAUAAGCACCGGCUAACUACGUGCCAGCCGCCGCGGUAA